CCUACGGGAGGCUGCAGUGAGGAAUAUUGGUCAAUGGGCUUACGCCUGAACCAGCCAAGUCGCGUGAGGGAAGACUGCCCUAUGGGUUGUAAACCUCUUUUGUCAGGGAGCAAUUGGCGCUACGUGUAGCGUUAUCGAGAGUACCUGCAGAAAAAGCAUCGGCUAACUCCGUGCCAGCAGCCGCGGUAAUACGGAGGAUGCGAGCGUUCUCCGGAUUUAUUGGGUUUAAAGGGUGCGUAGGCGGAAUGCCAAGUCAGCGGUAAAAUCGCGGGGCUCAACCUCGCUCCGCCGUUGAAACUGGCGGUCUUGAGUGGGCGAGAGGUAUGCGGAAUGCGUGGUGUAGCGGUGAAAUGCAUAGAUAUCACGCAGAACUCCGAUUGCGAAGGCAGCAUACCGGCGCCCAACUGACGCUGAAGCACGAAAGCGUGGGUAUCGAACAGGAUUAGAUACCCGAGUAGUC
rnacentral:rRNA from 1 species